UAAGUGGAGAGUUUGAUCCUGGCUCAGAACGAACGCUGGCGGCGUGCCUAACACAUGCAAGUCGAACGAGAAAUCUCCCGCUUGCGGGGGAGAGUAAAGUGGCGCACGGGUGAGUAACGCGUGGGUAACCUGCCCUCGAAUCUGGGAUAACCUCGCGAAAGCGUUGCUAAUACCGGAUAUUGUCCUAUUAGCUGUGGCUUUUAGGAUGAAAGGUGACCUCUUUAUAAAAGUUGCCGUUUGAGGAUGGGCCCGCGUACCAUUAGCUUGUUGGUGGGGUAAUGUCCUACGGGAGGCAGCAGUGAGGAAUUUUGCGCAAUGGGGGAAACCCUGACGCAGCAACGCCGCGUGAGUGAAGAAGGCUUUCGGGUCGUAAAGCUCUGUCAAGUGGGAAAAAACGCUUUCGAUUAAUAGUCGAGAGAAUUGAUGGUACCACUGGAGGAAGCACCGGCUAACUCCGUGCCAGCAGCCGCGGUAAUACGGAGGGUGCAAGCGUUGUUCGGAAUUACUGGGCGUAAAGGGCGUGUAGGCGGUUUGGCAAGUCAGAUGUGAAAGCCCUGGGCUUAACCCAGGAAGUGCAUUUGAAACUGCCAUACUUGAGUAUGGGAGAGGAGAGUGGAAUUCUCGGUGUAGAGGUGAAAUUCGUAGAUAUUGAGAGGAACACCCGUGGCGAAGGCGACUCUCUGGACCAAUACUGACGCUGAGACGCGAAAGCGUGGGGAGCAAACAGGAUUAGAUACCCUGGUAGUCCACGCUGUAAACGAUGAGA
rnacentral:rRNA from 1 species